rnacentral:rRNA from 1 species
UACGUAGGGUGCAAGCGUUAAUCGGAAUUACUGGGCGUAAAGCGUGCGCAGGCGGUUUUGUAAGUCUGUCGUGAAAUCCCCCGGGCUCAACCUGGGAAUGGCGAUGGAGACUGCAAGGCUAGAGUUUGGCAGAGGGGGGUAGAAUUCCACGUGUAGCAGUGAAAUGCGUAGAUAUCGAGAGGAACACCAGAGGUGAAGACGGGUUGCUGGGCCGACACUGACGCUGAUAGCGCGGAAAGCCAGGGGAGGCAAACGGG